UACCACAUCUAAGGAAGGCAGCAGGCGCGCAAAUUACCCAAUCCUAAUACAGGGAGGUAGUGACAAGAAAUAACAAUACAGGACUUUUUGGUUUUGUAAUUGGAAUGAGUUAAGUAUAAACCCCUUUACAAGUAUCAAUUGGAGGGCAAGUCUGGUGCCAGCAGCCGCGGUAAUUCCAGCUCCAAUAGCGUAUAUUAAAGUUGUUGCAGUUAAAAAGCUCGUAGUUGGAUUUCUGUUAAUAAUUUAUAUAAAAUAUUUUGAAUAUUUAUAUAACAUUAACAUAAUUCAUAUUACUAUAUUUUUUAGUAUAUGAAAUUUUACUUUGAGAAAAUUAGAGUGCUUAAAGCAGGCAUAUGCCUUGAAUACUCCAGCAUGGAAUAAUAUUAAAGAUUUUUAUCUUUCUUAUUGGUUCUAAGAUAAGAAUAAUGAUUAAUAGGGACAGUUGGGGGCAUUUGUAUUUAACAGUCAGAGGUGAAAUUCUUAGAUUUGUUAAAGACAAACUAAUGCGAAAGCAUUUGCCAAGGAUGUUUUCAUUAAUCAAGAACGAAAGUUAGGGGAUCGAAGACGAUCAGAUACCGUCGUAGUCUUAACCAUAAACUAUGCCAACUAGAGAUU
rnacentral:rRNA from 1 species